GAUGAACGCUGGCGGCGUGCCUAAUACAUGCAAGUCGAGCGAACAGACGAUGAGCUUGCUCCUCUGACGUUAGCGGCGGACGUGUGAGUAACACGUGUAUAACCUACCUAUAAUACUGGUAUCACUUCGGGACACCGGCUCUUAUACCGUAGAAUAUAUUGAACCGUAGGGUGCGAUAGUGAAAUUCGGUUUUUGUGGCUCUUAUAGAGGGAUCCGCGCCUCAUUAGCUAGUAGGUAAGGUAACGGCUUACCAAGGCAACGAUGCGUAGCCGACCUGAGAGGGUGAUCGGCCACACUGGAACUGAGACACGGUCCAGACUCCUACGGGAGGCAGCAGUAGGGAAUCUUACGCAAUGGGCGAAAGCCUGACGGAGCAACGCCGCGUGAGUGAUGAAGGUCUUCGGAUCGUAAAACUCUGUUAUUAGGGAAGAACAAAUGUGUAAGUAACUAUGCACGUCUUGACGGUACCUAAUCAGAAAGCCACGGCUAACUACGUG
rnacentral:rRNA from 1 species